rnacentral:rRNA from 1 species
CAUUACUGCGAAAGGGCCUCCGGGCCCGACCGCUCACCCUUUGUUGACACACUUGUUGCCUCGGGGACGACCCGGACGCCGACGCGUCGGCGUCGGGUCCCCCGACGGACCCUUCAAACUCUGUGUCUGUACGUCGGAGUACUUGAAAAAUCAAUUAAAACUUUCAACAACGGAUCUCUUGGUUCUGGCAUCGAUGAAGAACGCAGCGAAAUGCGAUAAGUAAUGUGAAUUGCAGAAUUCAGUGAAUCAUCGAAUCUUUGAACGCACAUCGCGCCCUUUGGCAUUCCGAGGGGCAUGCCUGUUCGAGCGUCAUUACACCACUCAAGCCUGGCUUGGUAUUGGGCGAGGAGGUCCCCUCCCGCCCCAAUUUCGUCGGCUGGACCGUCCGUAUCUCAGCGUUGUGGUAUUCAAUUCGCUGGCGAGAAGGAUGGGCCGCGCCGUUAAAAAUUUCUUUAAGGUUGACCUCGGAUCAGGUAGGGAUACCCGCUGAACUUAA